UACGUAGGGGGCAAGCGUUGUUCGGAAUGACUGGGCGUAAAGGGUGUGUAGGUGGUUUGAUAAGUUAGAUGUGUAGUACCCAGGGCUUAACUCGGGUGCUGCAUCUAAAACUGUUAGACUUGAGUACUGGAGAGGAUAGUGGAAUUCCUAGUGUAGCGGUGGAAUGCGUAGAUAUUAGGAGGAACAUCAGUGGCGAAGGCGACUAUCUGGACAGCGACUGACACUGAGGCACGAAAGCGUGGGGAGCAAACAGG
rnacentral:rRNA from 1 species